rnacentral:lncRNA from 1 species
CAUGACUACUUUAACCUGUAAAUAACCUGACAUGUUUUAUUAUCUUAUUUCUAGAUAAUAGAAGAAGUGAGCGGCUCCUCUUAUUAUGAGCCUGAAUCGCAAAGCUCUUCAUCCAUCCUGAGGAGCGAAAGGCUGGACUCUUGCAGGUCAAGUACUGUCCUCCAUACGGACUCGGAUGAAGAGAAAAUCUCAAGUCUUCCGUCUGCAGUUAGCAGUGUGGAAAUCAAAGACAAAGACAUAGCGGGCUUCCUGAACGUGCUGAUGAACUGUCAGUGGCAGAGUCUGUGGUGUCGGGUGGAGGCCGGGGUUCUGAAGAUGUAUCGGGACGAGGCGUCAGAAGAGACCCCUCAAUACACGGUUCAGCUCAGAGGGAGUGAGGUGCGACCCGGCCCGGAUACAGCACAUGCUUACCGCAUUACCAUCACACAGCACGGGGACCAGAUGGCUGUACUAGAGGCGAGUUGCGCAGAUGAUAAAGAGCAGUGGGUUCAGCUCCUGCAGGAUGGGAGUUCUCCAUAUCAACACACCAGCCACGAGUCACUGAGUGGUCUGAAAAGCCACAGGUGUCCCACCUCAAACAUGUACAUGGAUGACCCCUUUCAGCAGCUGUGUGGUCCAUCAGUCCACUCGCAGCCCAUCUAUUCAAACUCCUCUAUACUGGAGCACAUGUUUGAGAAACCUUACACUGGUGGAAACGGAGAAUUGGUGUCAUCCAAGGAUUCUGCCAGCUACAGCAAUAAUGAAAUCUUCAGCAACCACAGUACAAAACUGUUUGAGAUUGAGAGGGGUGUGCAGAAGCUGGACCUGACAGGAAAAAGACGAGUGCAGUUGCGAGCGGGGUCAGAGGUCAACCUCGUGAGCGUGGGGACGAAGCCAGCCAAACGGUAUUCCUUCAGACGCUCCCUCGCUUUCUGCACCGAGCGAGCACAGGGGGGCUUUCUGACCCCACUCUUGAGAAGAACUGCCUCGGCAAAAAGCACCCUAAAGAAAGCUCCAUCUGCCCUGUUUAUGGAGCAUGGCAGGGUCUUCCAGAGGAGGACGGAGUGGGAAACCAAAGCUUCAGGUUGACAUCAAGAGAAGACUCUCCCACAUUCCCCUCAUAUUGUCAAUAUAAUAUUGCACUGAAAAUAAUAUUCUUUCCAAGCAUGUGGAUCAUGCAGUGAUUUAGAUUUGUAAAGUUUUUUGUUCUUUUUUGGGGGGUUCUUGGUACGUUUAAGAAGAUAACACAAGAUCACACAAACUCUUUAUCAGCAUAUUCUGUCCAUAGGCAAGCAUUCAUCUUCACACACAGGGUUGCAAGAUUGUUAGGGAGCAACUGCAAAACAUUUUACAUUUGUAAAUAUCUAUUGAGAUGAUGCUGAUGUACAUUUCUAUGUCUAGAGAGUGGCACAUUUAAAUGAAGUGGAGUUUUAUGUUUAUCAUCAUAGCACAGUAUUUAUCCUUAUGUAAAUCACUUUGCACUGUUUUGAACCCGUCCUAAACUGUGUUUGCGGUUUUCAGGAAGGCAUUGUCAUGGUCAAAAUCAGGAAUCGUCAGUGUGAAGAUCAGUAACUGAUCAUUGAUUGUUGAAAAGUAAUUACCUCUUUCUUUUUUUUAUUUUCACAAGACUCACAAAUCUGUGGUAAUUUAUCAAUUUAUACUUUUUUUAUUCCAAUGCACAUGCAGUAUAUUAAGUGUUGAGCUUUUCUAAUGAUGUGCCUUAACCAUAUUUUUGUAUCCAUGUUUUUAUGAAGCAUUGAUUUGUCUUUACAGCUGAAGAGAUUUUGCUGGUAUUGAUCCCACUCACUUCAGGAAAGCUUUUUCUGUAUAGUUUGGUAGCUUGGUUAAGACAAGGAUGGCCUAACAUUGCUGUACAAAAGAUAACUGUGGAGAACAAAAACACCACUGAUGAACAUAUUUGUACAAUAAAUAAAGUAAUGCUGGAUA